GUGGAAGAAAUAAAGCAUAUGGUCCACACAAUAUAGAGAACGAUACAGCAAAGACUAGCAUGGCCCCUGCGCAAGGAUGAGACACACAGAUUGUGAAACGGUCAAAAUGUCU